rnacentral:rRNA from 1 species
UACGUAGGGUGCAAGCGUUGUCCGGAAUUAUUGGGCGUAAAGAGCUCGUAGGCGGUUUGUCGCGUCUGCUGUGAAAACUGGAGGCUCAACCUCCAGCCUGCAGUGGGUACGGGCAGACUAGAGUGCGGUAGGGGAGACUGGAAUUCCUGGUGUAGCGGUGAAAUGCGCAGAUAUCAGGAGGAACACCGGUGGCGAAGGCGGGGUCUCUGGGCCGUAACUGACGCUGGAGGAAGCGAAAGCGUGGGGAGCGAACAGG